rnacentral:rRNA from 1 species
CCCUUAGAUGUUCUGGGCCGCACGCGCGCUACACUGAUGCAUUCAACGAGUUUCUUCCUGGUCCGAGAGGAAUGGUUAACCUUUUGAAAGUGCAUCGUGAUAGGGAUAGACUAUUGCAAUUAUUGGUCUUCAACGAGGAAUUCCUAGUAGACGUAGUUCAUCAGACUGCAUCGAUUACGUCCCUGCCCUUUGUACACACCGCCCGUCGCUCCUACCGAUUGAAUGCUCAGGUGAGCCAUUCGGACUUUCAUCAUGCUGGUUUCCAGUUUUGAUGAAGGAAAGUCUUGCGAACCUUAUCAUUUAGAGGAAGGAGAAGUCGUAACA